GACGAACGCUGGCGGCGUGCUUAACACAUGCAAGUCGAACGUGAUUUUUGUGGAAAUUCUUUCGGGAAUGGACAUGAAAUGAAAGUGGCGAACGGGUGAGUAACACGUGAGCAACCUACCUUACACAGGGGGAUAGCCGUUGGAAACGACGAUUAAUACCGCAUGAGACCACAGAAUCGCAUGAUAUAGGGGUCAAAGAUUUAUCGGUGUAAGAAGGGCUCGCGUCUGAUUAGCUAGUUGGAAGGGUAAAGGCCUACCAAGGCGACGAUCAGUAGCCGGUCGGGGAAGAUGAAACGCCACAAUUGAAACGAGGCCCAGUCCAAAACCCUAAGGGGGGGAGGAGAGGGGGAUAAUGCACAAGGGGGGGAACCCUGAUGCCGCGGCGCCGGGGGAGCGAAGAAGGUUUUUGAAUCGUAAAGCCCUGUCCUAUGAGAAGAUAAUGACGGUAUCAUAGGAGGAAGCCCCGGCUAAAUACGUG
rnacentral:rRNA from 1 species